rnacentral:tRNA from 1 species
GCCGGUGUAGCUCAGCUGGUAGAGCAGCGCAUUCGUAAUGCGAAGGUCGGAAGUUCGAAUCUUCUCUCCGGCACCA